rnacentral:lncRNA from 1 species
GUAAUUUUACCUUCCUUCUAAGUCCCUCCUGUGGGUUCCUCUCCACAUGCCUCACUUGGCCCCUCUGGCCAACUUCAGGGGCCCAGAGUUUGUAGAACACGACAAAUGCUCCCUCUAUCAAGUGGGGUGCAGGAACCUGCCUGCCAAAUCAGGAGCCAGACCUCUGACCUGGGUCUUCAGGAAAGGCAACUGCCAAGUCUUCUACUCAACUUCCAGCUCAUGCUGGGGCUUCCAGAAUGACCUUUGCUCCCUCCCACUCUCGCAGUGGCUCAAUCUCCAAACCUGGAAGCUCUCUACUCCAUGACUUUCCCUGCCUCCCCCAGGAUUCAUUCUCUAACAGCCGAGCCUCUGGCACUAGUGUGCCCUGUGCCCCUGUCCAUGGCAAUGCUCUUCUUACUGGCUCCACCCUGUGUCCCAGCCCCCCGAGCCUCUGGGGAGGCCUUUGCACCCUUGUUCACAUCAUGCCCACAUCACCCCUAUUUGUAAGGAACUGAUGGGGUAAAAGGAGGCAUAAAGGCAGGUCGUCAUGCAGAAAGAAUUCACAGGCUCAGGCCGCCGCAGAUUCAAGGGACAAAACGAUUUAUUAUGAUGCCAUAAAACAGGCACAGUUCCCUAGUGGGAUUCACAUUUAAUAAGGAGGAAGUUGGGACCUUUUGUGAGAAAAGACUCAGUGCUUGGGUACCCUGAAGAUUGGGGGUGCUGGGCAAUGAUUUUUGGUAGCUUCUCUGAAAGAAGUCAGGUUCAAACCAUCUCAAAUCAAGCAAAGACACUGAUUUGGACAUUUAGUUAAGUAAAGGGUAAUACACACUGUGAACCUCCUCUUUAAGGGGGGGGGCAACCCAGCAGAGUGAUGUGGGGGUUUAUUCAGAGAAGGAAAAGGAAGCAAAACAUAGGAGAAUUUGGCAGCAAGUUGGAUGAUCUCAGUAGAUUUUGCACUUCCUUUACAAUGCGAGGUCGGGUCUGCAUGAGAAAGGUCCCUGUGAACAAGGUAAAAACCGUUUUGUUCUGGAGCGGGGGCAGCACCCUAUACAUGGAAAAAGCAAAGGGUCCUUUUAUUCCCAUGGAGUCUCUGAGAGAAAGUGGUAGAAUUACUGGGGCUGCAGCAUCAGCUAAGACUCCAUGAUUCCCCUCAAAGACCUGUGACCCAAAUUCAUUUGGGGCUGGGAAUGAAUGUCUCCUUUUCCAUAACCAUUUCCAGCUGAUAAGGGGCAUAGAACUGCUUCUGCUUAAGUCAUGAGUGAGUGGGGCUGGAUGGGAAUUGCAGCCCAGCAGCAUCCACAGGUGGGAGGAGCAGCAUCCACAGGUGGGAGGCGUACCAUGCACAGGUGGGCUGACACUUCCAGAGGCUGAGGUGCUGACAGAUAUCUGUCCUGUAGGGCCCUCCCAAAUCUGAUUAAGACUUGUCUGGAAGACACAAAUCUUAUUAAACUGCAAGGACAAAAGUAAAAACAAAAUAAUAAUUAGGAAAGUGUCACUAGAGAGGACAUUAGAUGUCCCUAAACGCUGCUGAGGAAGGUCAAGUAUCCAACUGACCUUCUUGAGGAUCGGUCAGCCCAUAGACCAGUUUGUUGGAGGGUGUGGAUGAAAACACACCAGGAAGUAUUGGCCAGAGCACAGAGACCCCCUUCAGAAGCAAAGAGGUGAUCUAAAGUGAAGCAGUUCCCAAGGUGUGAAGGGACAUUUGGAAACCUUUGAGGGGCUGGGAGUUGUUCUGGGUGACUUUCUGGAUGAUUAAGACUAGCAAUGACAUCAUUAAGUUCCAAAUAACCAAGGUACAGGACAAAUAUUGUUUUUUCCCUAAAAGCCAACCAAAUGGAAAGUGGAAAGGGUGGGAGAUACAUUUUAGGUGGGGGGUAGAUUGAUUAGGAAGGGCUGGCAGGUGGGCGUUGAGGGAGCCACCACGUACAAACAGCCAGGAGAAGAUCAAUACAAAAGUAUAUGCAGCAUGGGUAGAAUUGAAAAGGGAGAUGUUGGGAAUAGAAGAGUUUUAUCAUCCCUUGAUGAUAAAAAUCA